UACAGAGGUGGCAAGCGUUGUUCGGAAUUACUGGGCGUAAAGGGCUCGUAGGCGGCCAACUAAGUCAUACGUGAAAUCCCUCGGCUUAACCGGGGAACUGCGUCUGAUACUGGAUGGCUUGAGUUCGGGAGAGGGAUGCGGAAUUCCAGGUGUAGCGGUGAAAUGCGUAGAUAUCUGGAGGAACACCGGUGGCGAAGGCGGCAUCCUGGACCGGCAUUGACGCUGAGGAGCGAAAGCCAGGGGAGCAAACGGG
rnacentral:rRNA from 1 species